AUUGAACGCUAGCGGGAUGCUUUACACAUGCCAGUCGAACGGCAGCGCGGACUUCGGUCUGGCGGCGAGUGGCGAACGGGUGAGUAAUGUAUCGGAACGUGCCCAGUAGCGGGGGAUAACUACGCGAAGGCGUAGCUAAUACCGCAUACGCCCUACGGGGGAAAGCAGGGGAUCGUAAGACCUUGCACUAUUGGAGCGGCCGAUAUCGGAUUAGCUAGUUGGUGAGGUAACGGCUCACCAAGGCGACGAUCCGUAGCUGGUUUGAGAGGACGACCAGCCACACUGGGACUGAGACACGGCCCAGACUCCUACGGGAGGCAGCAGUGGGGAAUUUUGGACAAUGGGGGCAACCCUGAUCCAGCCAUCCCGCGUGUGCGAUGAAGGCCUUCGGGUUGUAAAGCACUUUUGGCAGGAAAGAAACGUCGCGGGCUAAUACCCCGUGGAACUGACGGUACCUGCAGAAUAAGCACCGGCUAACUACGUG
rnacentral:rRNA from 1 species